rnacentral:sRNA from 1 species
UUAUAUUUGUUAGUAUAUGUAUGCAAUGUUUGUUAUUAUUGUAAAUUAUUGUCGUAGCUCAGCGGUAUAUUGCCCCAUAUGAGUCCAAUAGGUCAUAUGUUCGAGCCAUUGUGGACGAGGAUUUUGCAUCAUUAUUUUCUAAUGAAACGACGUCGUUUUGGAGAUCUAAAAACGACGUCGUUUCGAUUUAACAGAAAUUUGUAACAGAAAGUUAAUGCUGUUAACGGAAAUUUAACGACGUGCCCAAAAUGGCCAAGUCAAAUGAAACUUUGUGAUGUAAAUGACAUUUCGAAAGUUCAUGCUUUUUUCGUCCCAAAUUUGAAAGUUCGCGCUUUUUUGACAUUUUUCCCAAUUAAAUUUUGUUUAUUAUACUAUUACUCUAUUAACUUUGA